UAAAGGCUUGUUGCAUGUGUCCCGGGUUGGAGAAGAGACUGAAGGCCUGGAGCAGUGUUCUCUACCAAAGCAAGCGCACUCAAGCGAGGACUAGGUGGACGAUGGCUGGAGCAUCAGAUCCCUACCAUCGCUGGCAUUCUGAGUGCAGGGUGAGCUGCAGAGAAGCCUUCAGCUGGAGAAACUGGAGACCAUCACUCGAGUACUUGAGGUGGUGGCUGGGGUCCCUCUGGAAUGCUGCCCACCUAAGCAAAGAGCAAAUGGGACCUGCCACACAUCUGGGAACUGAGAG